UACGUAGGGUGCGAGCGUUGUCCGGAAUUACUGGGCGUAAAGAGCUCGUAGGUGGUUUGUCGCGUUGUUCGUGAAAACUCACAGCUCAACUGUGGGCGUGCGGGCGAUACGGGCAGACUGGAGUACUGCAGAGGAGAGUGGAAUUUCGUGUGUAGGGGUGAAAUCCGUAGAUCUACGAAGGAACGCCAAAAGCGAAGGCAGCUCUCUGGGUCCCUACCGACGCUGGGGUGCGAAAGCAUGGGGAGCGAACAGG
rnacentral:rRNA from 1 species